GGUUGAUCCUGCCAGUAGUCAUAUGCUCGUUUCAAAGAUUAAGCCAUGCAAGUCUAAGUAUAAGUUUUCAUACGGCAACACUGCGAAUAGCUCAUUACAACAGUUAGAAUCUCCACUAUUAUCACUACCAAAUGGAUAACCAUGGUAAUUCUAGUGCUAAUACAUGCGAAACACCUGAUUUUCAGGUCGCACUCAUUAGUUGUUAGAUCCAGUUAUGGUUUAACCAUAUAUUUGAUGAUUAUAAUGAUGGAGUGGAUUGCUUUAUACGCAAUAAAUAGUACGAAUUUCUGAC
rnacentral:rRNA from 1 species